GACGUAGGGCGCGAGCGUUGUCCGGAUUUAUUGGGCGUAAAGAGCUCGUAGGCGGCUCAUUGCGUCAACCGUGAAAACCAGCAGCUCAACUGUUGGCUUGCGGUUGAUACGGGUGGGCUGGAGUUCGGUAGGGGAGACUGGAAUUCCUGGUGUAGCGGUGAAAUGCGUAGAGAUCGGAAAGAACACCAACGGCGAAAGCACUCUGCUGGGCCGACACUGACACUGAGAGACGAAAGCUAGGGGAGCGAAUGGG
rnacentral:rRNA from 1 species